UUAUUGACAAUUAAAUAAAGUUUUGAGAAUUUGUUUCUUGAGAACUUAUUGUUAUGAUUAUUGUUUUCAUAGUUGUAUGGGGAUCAGUAUGGUCAGGUAUGCUUGCUUGUACAGGAUUGUUGAAUGUUUGCUUGUAAUGGUCCCUUGUAUCUUUUGGCAUGCAGAUUGUUUGAUACAAGGGAGUUUCUUCUCAAUUGGUUGAGGCAUAAUUGCUCAACUGAUAGUUUUUUUAUGUGAGAGUGGGAUGAUUAAGUUUGCAUAGAUGUGAAUGGCUUGAAAGUUUUCAUCUAGCCUAGGCGAAUUUUCAUUGUUCAUUUUAACAAUUUGAUUUAUUGGCAAUUGAAUAUGGUGGGAAUAAUUACAGGCAUGCAUAAGAUCAACUUGCUGGCAUUUGUUCGCUUUUUGGUAGUUCAUGCAACUGUUACAUUUAGAAAAGUUUCUUUUUUGCAUCAAGUUACUUCAUGAUGCUUCUAUUUUCUCCUUACAUAAGUAUUUUCCUCCUAAAACUAUUCAAAUACAGAAGAGUACGACUAAUUAGUGUGUGUUUUGGCCCUUAAAUUAGCUGUUGAAGCCGAAAAGGUCGGCAUUUCUAGCUAUUUUCGUAUAUGGAUUAGCUUGUCAAUGGGUUCCACUCUUUUUACUUGAUGCAGAGGAUUAUGAGUGUGGAGAAG
rnacentral:misc_RNA from 1 species